AUCAGUACUGUCCAGUUUCAUAUGCUCCCAAGUGCUGGAGCACCUUCCACAUGAGUGGACUGGGGAUAGCAACCAGGGCAGGUGCCAGAUGCCAGUGACGCUAUUCCCAAUUUACACUUCUGCUAAGUGGGAAAACGGGUUCACCCUGACCUCUGCUUCCAUCCAUCCCCCUCGAAAUCUGGGACUCCCUUCAAGCAACUUGAGCCCAUCUUAUGGCACUCAGGAUAACUGCAUAGAUUCCACCACUGUUUGUGAUUGCCUGCAGAUGCCCUAAGUAUAUGGAGGUCCUGUCAAAACAGCAGCUAGUGAUGGUGGUCAGUAGGUAGAUGUUUUAUCUUUAAUAUUUUGGUGACAUGCUAUUUUAUAUAUAAAUGUAAUCAGAGCCCAUUAUUCCC